rnacentral:rRNA from 1 species
GACGAACGCUGGCGGCGUGGAUUAGGCAUGCAAGUCGAACGGUAUCAUCCUUUCGGGGGUGAGAGAGUGGCGAACUGGUGAGUAACACGUAGGUUAUCUACCCUCAAGACGGGGACAACCCAGGGAAACUUGGGCUAAUACCGGAUGUGAGCAACUUUUAGUUGUUUGAAAGGUGGCGUAAGCUGUCGCUUGGGGAUGAGCCUGCGUCCUAUUAGUUAGUUGGUGAGGUAACGGCUCACCUAGGCAAUGAUAGGUAGGCGGCCUUAACGGGUGGUCGCCCACACUGGGAUUGAGAUACGGCCCAGACUCCUACGGGAGGCAGCAGUCGAGAAUAGUCUACAAUGGUCGGAAGACUGAUAGUGCGACGCCGCGUGAACGAUGAAUCCCUUCGGGGUGUAAAGUUCUUUUAUAUGUGAGCAGUGCUUCUUAUAUUAACAGUUAAUGGGGAGAGAGAUAUUAGCAUAUGAAUAAGCAACGGCUAACUCCGUGCCAGCAGCCGCGGUAAA